GGAGUGGUCCGGGUGGUCGCGUCAGAUUUAUUUCUGCCGAGGAAAGUCCGGGCUGCACAGGACAAGACGCCGGCUAACGGCCGGUAGGGGUGACCCUGGGAAAGUGCCACAGAGAAUAACCGCCAGCCGACUCUUCGGAGGCCGCUGGUAAGGGUGAAAAGGUGCGGUAAGAGCGCACCGCCCGGACUGGUAACAGACCGGGGCCAGGUAAACCCCGUCUGCAGCAAGGCCAAAUAGGGAAGCGCCAAGCGUGGUCCACGUUUGCUUCCGGGUAGGCUGCUCGAGCCUGCUGGUAACGGCAGGCCUAGAUGAAUGACCAUCAUCCCUUCGGGGAUACAGAACCCGGCUUACAGGGCCACUCCGUAU
rnacentral:RNase_P_RNA from 1 species